rnacentral:sRNA from 1 species
AGAAACCCAGGAAAUCGAGACUCAUGACUCCCAGAGAGGAUGGCAUCUAGAAGCCCCACCCAGCCCCAGCCCCAGGAGGAGGAGCCUGUCUGGAUGGACGCAGCCUCAACUGACCCACAAACAGACCAAAAAAGUCACUCUCAAAGAGCUCUUGGUAGGUUUGUAAAUACUUAACUGAUGGUAAAAUGGCAUGAACCCCUACCCCCGAUGGAUCUGAACCGUUCACUUGACCCACUUUAAACUGACCAGACUUCUCCAAAUAAGCUCCAUCCACCCCUGGUUGGGGUACCCCACUAGCUUUGUCCUCAGGCCAACCUGCAACCCAAAGUGGGUUACACCUUGGCCCCCAGGCACACAGACCCCAGCUUUACAAGGACCCCAGCUCCUUAACACAGAUCCCAGCUCCGAGGAAACUCGUCCCCCCCACGUUUAUCCUGACCGACUUUGCCACAUGGAGCCAGCAAACCAUUUCUGGUGAGAGCCAAAUGCACCUUCUGCACCAUGUCCCCCACCCAAUGUGUCCAGAAAGCCAUUUCUGGUGAGCCAGAUGCACCUUCUGCAUCCCCUGAAUUCCUGUCCCCAACCCCAUGCGUCCAGUUCACCUCCGCCAUCUUGAGUAUCCCUCAUCACCCCAAACUGCAGUCCCUGCCUCUGUUCCCACCUCACCUCUGGUGUGCAGGCAAAGGACCAGGAUCCCCAGGAGCUUCCAGUUGAGGAUCAUGGCUAUGUACUGGCCCCCAAAGCUGGGGUGGGCUGAGUCUGGGUGCCUGGGAACCCCAAGAGGCUUUAUAGGGGAGGAGUGGAGGAGGGGCCAGCCCAGUGGCACAGGAAUACCAUCAGAACAGAACUGGUCAAACCCGUUGGGAAGGCCUGGGCUGAUGUGUCACCCCUGAAGGUGGCGUCCCUUAUUUUAGUCCUCCAGCCCAGGACCCAGCUGCCUGCUCUCCCUAUCAUGACCCAGAGCCUGCGUCACCCCACCCUGGUUUUCACACCCUCCAUCCACACCCUGGAGCAGUCAAUACCCACUUGGCAUCUCCGUAAUCACAGAGAUGUCCACCUUCAUCCCUUGCAACUAUUGGAAGCCAAAGAAUGGGAGCAAAUCACGCGUUGGGCGUUGGGAAGCACCGUAAUUACAGG